rnacentral:rRNA from 1 species
GAUGAACGCUAGCGGCAGGCUUAAUACAUGCAAGUCGUGGGGCAGCAUGAGUAGCAAUACUUGAUGGCGACCGGCAAACGGGUGCGGAACACGUACACAACCUUCCGAUAAGUGGGGAAUAGCCCAGAGAAAUUUGGAUUAAUACCCCGUAACAUAUAGAGUAGGCAUCUUCUUUAUAUUAUAGCUUCGGCGCUUAUUGAUGGGUGUGCGUCUGAUUAGGUAGUUGGCGGGGUAACGGCCCACCAAGCCUACGAUCAGUAGCUGAUGUGAGAGCAUGAUCAGCCACACGGGCACUGAGACACGGGCCCGACUCCUACGGGAGGCAGCAGUAAGGAAUAUUGGACAAUGGGCGAAAGCCUGAUCCAGCCAUGCCGCGUGAAGGAUUAAGGUCCUCUGGAUUGUAAACUUCUUUUAUUUGGGACGAAAAAAGGGAAUUCUUUCCCACUUGACGGUACCAAGUGAAUAAGCACCGGCUAACUCCGUGCCAGCAGCCGCGGUAAUACGGAGGGUGCAAGCGUUAUCCGGAUUCACUGGGUUUAAAGGGUGCGUAGGCGGGUAUGUAAGUCAGUGGUGAAAUCUCGGAGCUUAACUCCGAAACUGCCAUUGAUACUAUAUAUCUUGAAUAUUGUGGAGGUUUGCGGAAUAUGUCAUGUAGCGGUGAAAUGCUUAGAUAUGACAUAGAACACCUAUUGCGAAGGCAGCAGGCUACACAUAUAUUGACGCUGAGGCACGAAAGCGUGGGGAUCAAACA